rnacentral:tRNA from 1 species
UAGCUCGGUUGGUAGAGCGCUUCACUAGAAAUGAAGAAGUCCCUGGUUCGAUACCAGG